CAUGACUGGCCAGCCUCGCUAUUGCUUCCUCCGCCCAGCUCUGACCGACACACUCCCUUCCCCUGGACCCCAAGGCUUGCUUCAGGGACCCACUGGGAGUAGGAGGGACAUACUUGGGUUCCCAGCCUUCUUGGUGACAGAGCAGUGAUAGAGUUCGACCACCACCCAGAUCUGCUUCCUGACAUCCUGCAAAGGCCAGACACCCUCGAGGGAGACGCCAGAGCCAUCACAACCCAGCCAGCCUUUGUUUCUUUAAGAAUGGCUAACUUGUGCAGCUGCCAUAGGCAGGCAGGGGUGGGUCUGGUGGUACUGGAGCCUGCUGGUCGUGACCCCAUGCCCAGUCAGUGGAACAGGAUCCCAGGAACAGUGGGAGGAGGCUGAGGGCUGGGAGGUGGAAGCUGAGGUCAGAGUCUCUGCUCAAAUGGGAUGCUGCUUAUUAAGUGAUGGAGUGAGUGUCUCCCUGACUGUCAGCUCUUCCUCAGUAAAGUUACCUGUUGUUGCUCCUUCUCAUUUUAUUUUAUUUAUAUAUGAUUCAGUAGUACUAGGUGUUGAAUUUAGGGCCUCAAUAUGCUGAGCAGAUGCUCUACUACUGAGCCACACCCUAGCCCGUCACUGGGGAAUUCCAGGCAGGUGC